UACGGAGGGUGCGAGCGUUGUCCGGAAUCAGACUGGGCGUAAAGGGCGCGUAGGCGGCCUGAAUAAGUAGGGGGUGAAACUCCUGCGGCUUAACCGCAGGGCUGCCUUCUAAACUGUCAGGCUCGAGCACAGUAGGAAGGCAGGGUGGAAUUCCCGGUGUAGCGGUGGAAUGCGUAGAGAUCGGGAAGAACAUCGGUGGCGAAGCGGCGUCUCUGGGCCUUACCUGACGCGUGAGGAAGCGGAAAGCGUGGGUAGCGAACAGG
rnacentral:rRNA from 1 species